AUUAUUUGAGGUAGACAAUUGUGCCAUCUACACACCUUUUAAAGGUCAAAAGAGAUACAGGAUGUGGCACACCUGUCAAAUAAU
rnacentral:ncRNA from 12 species